GCUGGAGACCAGGCUAUUUCUCAGAGAACACUCAUCCUAAGAAAACCAAGACAGAAAUGCCCUUAAGAAACUGCCUUUGGUCACCAUCAAAAGGAGAAUACUCAGAUCAAAAGGAGGUUCUAAGAGAAACUCUAUCUGAUCCUCAGAAGAAAUCUGGAUUACUUCUGGCCUCGGGAAGUCCUACCAAGUUUCUAGAAGGAGGUGCAGUGAAUCAGGUUUUCAAUCAACGGACCUACGCUGUAUUUGAAAUGAUCAGUAAGGCUGAAUGAAGCUAACUAUGCAACUACAAAAAGUAAGAGUUUUCUUUUCUUUUUUUAAAAAAAGUUCUCUGUAUUGCUGUUGACUACCAUAAUAAAGUAUUGAGAUGGUUUAAAAAUGAAUGAAA
rnacentral:lncRNA from 1 species